rnacentral:rRNA from 1 species
AGCAUGUGGUCAAUUGAUGCAACGCGAGAUCCUCCCUGGUUUGACGAGUGGGGACAGGCGAUGAAAGUCGGCCUUCUGCAAAGGACCGGUACUUAGGUGCUGCAUGGCUGUCGUCAGCUUGUGUCGUGAGAUGAUGGGUUUAGUCCCGCAACGAGCGCAACCCCUGUCCGCAGUUACCAUCAUUCAGUUGGGGACUUUGCGGAGACCUCCGGUGACAAACCGGAGGAAGGUGUGGAUGACGUCAAGUCCUCAUGGCCUGUAUGUCCAGGGCUACACACGUGCUACAAUGGCCGGUACAGACCGUCGCAAGCUUGCGAGAGCAAGCCAAUCGGACAAAACCGGUCUCAGUUCGGAUUGAAGGCUGCAACUCGCCUUCAUGAAGCUGGAAUCGCUAGUAAUCGCGGAUCAGCAUGCCGCGGUGAAUACGUUCCCGGGCCUUGUACACACCGCCCGUCACAUCACGAAAGUUGGCUGUACCAGAAAUCGGUGGGCCAACCCGCAAGGGAGGCAGCCGCUUAAGGUAUGGUCGGUGAUUGGGGUGAAGUCGUAACAAGGUAGCCGUAA